rnacentral:rRNA from 1 species
GAUGAACGCUAGCUACAGGCUUAACACAUGCAAGUCGAGGGGAAACGACAUCGAAAGCUUGCUUUUGAUGGGCGUCGACCGGCGCACGGGUGAGUAACGCGUAUCCAACCUGCCCAUCACUUGGGAAUAACCUUGCGAAAGUAAGACUAAUACCCAAUGACAUCCCACGAAGACAUCUGAAUGGGAUUAAAGAUUUAUCGGUGAUGGAUGGGGAUGCGUCUGAUUAGCUUGUUGGCGGGGUAACGGCCCACCAAGGCAACGAUCAGUAGGGGUUCUGAGAGGAAGGUCCCCCACAUUGGAACUGAGACACGGUCCAAACUCCUACGGGAGGCAGCAGUGAGGAAUAUUGGUCAAUGGGCGAGAGCCUGAACCAGCCAAGUAGCGUGCAGGAUGACGGCCUUAUGGGUUGUAAACUGCUUUUAUAAGGGAAUAAAGUGGGUCUCGUGAGACUUUUUGCAUGUACCUUAUGAAUAAGGACCGGCUAAUUCCGUG